rnacentral:lncRNA from 1 species
GUGCAUCUUGUAAGGGAAGAAAUAUGGAGAAAAAUGAUUUAUUGUGACCUAAAUUUAGGUUUAAAAAUAAACAUAAAUUGUUAAUCUUCGAUCGUGCAAAUAUUGGUUGUCUGCCUCUUACAGUAUUUGAUCAUUGACGAAAGAGAAAGCCAUUUGUUACAAUAUGAUUCGGAUGCAUGGGGAGCAUAGGGACUUGGCAGUUUUAGAUUGUGCAGAAAUUAAAAUAUCUAAUAUUUUAAUUGUUUUUCAAAAAAAAAAUCUUUUACGACCUAUCAUCUUUCUUUUAAAU